GGGAAGGCUGCAGUGGGACAAGGACCAGGAUACUGCAGUGCUGUGACAGCAGCAGGACUGGCUUUGUUACGAGGAGCCUCACCC
ensembl:miRNA gga-mir-2129 gga-mir-2129